GACGAACGCUGGCGGCGUGCUUAACACAUGCAAGUCGAACGGGUCUGCCCUGUUUUUUGCGGGGUGGGUCAGUGGCGAACGGGUGAGUAACACGUGAGUAACCUGCCCCUCACUUCUGGAUAACCGCUUGAAAGGGUGGCUAAUACGGGGUGUUCUGGCUGUGCCGCAUGGUGUGGCUGGGAAAGAUUCACUUUUGUGGUGUUUUGGUGGGGGAUGGGCUCGCGGCCUAUCAGCUUGUUGGUGGGGUGAUGGCCUGCCAAGGCUUUGACGGGUAGCCGGCCUGAGAGGGUGGGCGGUCACACUGGGACUGAGAUACGGCCCAGACUCCUGCGGGAGGCAGCAGUGGGGGGUAUUGCACAAUGGGCGGAAGCCUGAUGCAGCGACGUCGCGUGAGGGAUGGAGGCCUUCGGGUUGGGAACCUCUUUCGCCGGUGAAGAAGGUCCUGCUCUGUGUGGUGGGGUUGACGGUAGCCGGGUUAUGAAGCGCCGGCUAACUACGU
rnacentral:rRNA from 1 species